UAACGGUAGUAGUGGUGUAGUAGUGCCUUCUAGUGGUGGUAGUCAGAGUUAGUCAGGUUAUCAGUGAUGGUGUUAUAGUGAAGGUCAGGACAGUGGCGAACCUCAAGGGCACUGAAGGUCAGUUGAAAUUUAGUGAUCGUAGAGAAGAGGUGUGUUGGCCUUCCUGCCGUCCCGCCGGCUUUACCGCUUCCUCAUCUUUUUAAUACACCUAAAUAACGUGUGGUAACAGGAGUGCUGUGCCUGGCUGUGUCUGCUGCAACAUUGAUGAACACAGCAACUUGGAUCAGUCUGAUGGGUGGAGACAACCACACUAGUAAACGGUCUGACCCAUAACAUUUAGUGUUAUAUGGAGAUGUAGCAGUUGGAGACGUCGUUAGAGGUGGGCAGGGCCAGCUUGUAAGGAAACCACGUGGCUGGGUCUGAAUCACAUGGUGGCUCUUCACUGUUCAUGUCUACAGAAGUAUCUGUAGAAUGUGGUUGUGGUGGUUCAUCCCCUUAACUAUCUUGAAUUGGUAUGUUAUUUUCAUUUUCUGCAGAUGUACUUGGGAAUGUGGGUGGGUCCUCAGAAGAAUCAUCUGAUAGUGGUACUGGUUCUUCAUUAGUAGCUUCUAUGUUUUCCACUACAGAAGCAGAGAAAAAUUCUGUAAGGCGUUUUGUUUUUGCCAAGACAGCAGCAUUUCUUUCGCUUGAUUCUUUGGAAAUCUUCCUUUUCUGAGCUCCUAACAAGUGAAUUUUCUGUGGUAUACUGGGUCUUCUGAAAAAAAAAAAACAAAUACAGUGGACCUCGAGUUUCGUGAUUAAUAUGUUCCAGA